GGACCUGACUGCUAUCGGAUUGAUACUAAGCCAUGCGAGUCAUUGUAGCAAUACAAGGCAUACGGCUCAGUAACGCGUAGUCAACCUAACCUAUGGACGGGAAUAACCUCGGGAAACUGAGAAUAAUGCCCGAUAGAACAUUAUGCCUGGAAUGGUUUAUGUUCCAAAUGAUUUAUCGCCGUAGGAUGGGACUGCGGCCUAUCAGUUUGUUGGUGAGGUAAUGGCCCACCAAGACUAUUACAGGUACGGGCUCUGAGAGGAGUAGCCCGGAGAUGGGUACUGAGACACGGACCCAGGCCCUAUGGGGCGCAGCAGGCGAAGAAAACUUUGCAAUGUGCGAAAGCACGACGAAGGUUAAUCCGAGUGGUUUCUGCUAAAGAAACCUUUUGUCGAGUCCUAGAAACGACUGAUGAAUAAGGGGUGGGCAAAGUUCUGGUGU
rnacentral:rRNA from 1 species